GCCUGGGUGGCUCAGUGAUUUAAAGCCUCUGUCUUUGGCUCAGGUCAUGAUCCCAGAGUCCUGGGAUCAAGUCCCACCCUGGGCU
rnacentral:tRNA from 1 species